AACGAACGCUGGCGGCAUGCCUAACACCUGGAAGUCGAACGAGAUCUUCGGGUCUAGUGGCGCACGGGUGCGUAACGCGUGGGAAUCUGCCCUUUGGUUCGGAAUAACAGUUGGAAACGACUGCUAAUACCGGAUGAUGACGAAAGUCCAAAGAUUUAUCGCCAGAGGAUGAGCCCGCGUAGGAUUAGCUAGUUGGUGUGGUAAAGGCGCGCCAAGGCGACGAUCCUUAGCUGGUCUGAGAGGAUGAUCAGCCACACUGGGACUGAGACACGGCCCAGACUCCUACGGGAGGCAGCAGUGGGGAAUAUUGGACAAUGGGCGAAAGCCUGAUCCAGCAAUGCCGCGUGAGUGAUGAAGGCCUUAGGGUUGUAAAGCUCUUUUACCCGGGAUGAUAAUGACAGUACCGGGAGAAUAAGCUCCGGCUAACUCCGUGCCAGCAGCCGCCGUAA
rnacentral:rRNA from 1 species